rnacentral:rRNA from 1 species
CGUGGAGGAUGAAAUCCCUUGGGAUGUAAACUCCUUUCGAUCGGGACGAUUAUGACGGUACCGGAAGAAGAAGCCCCGGCUAACUUCCGUGC